rnacentral:snoRNA from 1 species
UUGCACAUUCAAGUCCUGUUAUGUCUUGAGUGAUUAAGACGGGGGUAGAUGAAUUCUCUCAAAAACCUUAAGUAUUGGCUUAACAUUCCUUGCUUCGGAUCCUGUCGGGAGAAACAAUU